rnacentral:misc_RNA from 1 species
AAGUCGUAACAAGGUUUCCGUAGGUGAACCUGCGGAAGGAUCAUUAAAGAAUUAGGCUUCGCGGCCAAGUUCUCACCCUUUGUAUACCGAAACCAUGUUGCUUUGGCAGGCCCCUGUCAUUUCGCUCCGGGCCUGGCCAUGAGGUUAACUAACCUAAGAAUCUCUGCUGUCUGAGUACUAUACAAUAGUUAAAA